rnacentral:sRNA from 1 species
GAGACUUGACUCCGUGCCAUCAUCGUUGACUGGAGGAAUGACGGGGUCGAUGAUGAUUUGAACCAUGCUUGCUUUGAUUAAAGGAGCGUAGAGAAAAUUUGUUUAUAUUCCCCUACCUGGCGCGCCAAUUGUUGAUUCUGUAAUCAAACAAUGAAUUUGUACUAAGA